GACGAACGCUGGCGGCGUGCUUAACACAUGCAAGUCGAACGAAGUGGCGAACGGGUGAGUAACGCGUAAUCAACCUGCCCUUCAGAGGGGGAUAACAGUUGGAAACGACUGCUAAUACCGCAUACUGAAGGAGGGGAUUGCGUGUGAUUAGCUAGGUGGUGGGGUAAAGGCCGACCAAGGCGACAAUCCGUAACUGUUCUGAGAGGUUGAGCAGUCACACUGGAACUGAGACACGGUCCAGACUCCUACGGGAGGCAGCAGUGGGGAAUAUUGGACAAGGGGCGAAAGCCUGAUCCAGCCAUGCCGCGUGUUUGAAGAAGGUUUUCGGAUCGUAAAACUCUGUUGUUAGAGAAGCGGUAUCUAACCAGAAAGCCACGGCUAACUACGUGCCAGCAGCCGCGGUAAUAC
rnacentral:rRNA from 1 species